CGCUCGCGUCUCCCCCGCCGGCAGUUUUCCAUCUCGGCCCGGUGCUGAGCGCGCUGCCUCUGCGGCGGGGAGGGCGGCGGGAGGAGGGCGGCGCGGCGGCCGGAGGGGCCGCGGGGCCGAGCGGAGGAGCGGGAGCCCGCUGCGGUCGCCCCCGCCCCGCGCGAUCGGGCGGGCGGCCACUCGGACGCGGGCAGCGAGCGGGCCCGGGGACAGCGUGGCCCCACGAUGGCCUCAACCACCACCUGCACCCGGUUCACGGACGAGUACCAGCUCUUCGAGGAGCUCGGAAAGGGGGCUUUCUCAGUGGUGAGAAGAUGUAUGAAAAUCUCUACUGGUCAAGAAUAUGCUGCCAAAAUCAUCAACACCAAGAAGCUGUCUGCCAGGGAUCAUCAGAAACUGGAAAGGGAAGCCAGAAUCUGCCGUCUUCUCAAGCACCCCAACAUCGUGCGGCUGCACGACAGCAUCUCGGAGGAGGGCUUCCACUACCUGGUGUUCGACCUAGUGACUGGCGGUGAGCUGUUCGAAGACAUCGUGGCCAGAGAGUACUACAGCGAGGCCGACGCCAGCCACUGCAUCCAGCAGAUCCUGGAGAGCGUGAGCCACUGCCACCUCAACGGCAUCGUGCACAGGGACCUGAAGCCGGAGAAUUUGCUGUUGGCCAGCAAGUCCAAGGGCGCGGCCGUGAAGCUGGCGGACUUCGGCCUCGCCAUCGAGGUUCAAGGGGACCAGCAGGCGUGGUUCGGUUUCGCUGGCACGCCCGGGUACCUGUCUCCAGAAGUGCUGCGGAAGGACCCCUACGGGAAGCCGGUGGACAUGUGGGCCUGCGGCGUCAUCCUCUACAUCCUGCUGGUGGGGUACCCCCCGUUCUGGGACGAGGACCAGCACAGACUCUACCAGCAGAUCAAGGCCGGAGCUUACGACUUUCCAUCACCAGAGUGGGACACGGUGACACCCGAAGCCAAAGACCUCAUCAACCGAAUGCUGACCAUCAAUCCCGCCAAGCGCAUCACCGCGUCCGAGGCGCUGAAGCACCCGUGGAUCUGCCAACGCUCCACGGUGGCCUCCAUGAUGCACAGGCAGGAGACGGUGGACUGCCUGAAGAAGUUCAACGCACGGAGGAAGCUCAAGGGCGCCAUCCUGACCACCAUGCUGGCCACCAGGAACUUCUCAGCGGCCAAGAGUCUGCUGAAGAAGCCGGACGGAGUGAAGAUAAACAGCAGAGCCGUGGUAACUAGCCCCAAAGAGAACGCCCCCGCCCCGGCGCUGGAGCCCCAAACCACUGUGAUCCACAGCCCUGAUGGAAACAAGGAGUCCACGGAGAGCUCCAACACGACCAUCGAGGACGAAGAUGUGAAAGCUCGGAAGCAGGAGAUCAUCAAGGUCACAGAGCAGCUGAUCGAGGCCAUCAACAACGGGGACUUCGAGGCGUACACAAAAAUCUGUGACCCGGGCCUCACUGCCUUUGAGCCGGAAGCUCUGGGCAACUUGGUAGAAGGGAUGGACUUCCAUCGGUUCUACUUUGAAAAUGCUCUGUCCAAAGGCAGCAAGCCCGUCCACACGAUCCUCCUGAACCCGCAUGUGCACCUGCUGGGCGAGGACGCGGCCUGCAUCGCCUACAUCCGACUCACCCAGUACACGGACGGCGGCGGCAAGCCCCGCACCAUGCAGUCAGAGGAGACGCGCGUGUGGCACCGCCGGGACGGCAAGUGGCAGAACGUGCACUUCCAUCGCUCGGGGUCCCCUACGGUGCCCACCGAGUAAGUGUCCCCCAAGUCUCUGAGUUUGCAAGACUGCCAUGCAGGCCUCCUCUGAGCUUAUCAGCUAAGCACCGUGCCACGCCGGCCUCGUGUCUCCGCCCCGGACGACGCCCUGGCGCCUGCGGAGGCGGGAGGCGGCCGGCCUGCGCCGCCCCGCCAUCGCCCUGCUGUCCAUGUGUGCCGCGGACAGCCCCCGGAGGCCGCCCAGGCCCGAGGACCGCCUGCUCCUCGCCUGCUCCUGCCAAGACGCCGCGGCCCUCGUCCGGACGCGUGCCCGCGAACGUUCCCUCCACUGCGGUCCCCGCUCCGGUGUUUGACAGAACGGCCAGACCCUGUUCCUGGCGGGUCCGGGCAGCUCCGGGACCGCUGGCUGACCUUUCUGUCCCUCCGAUCUGCUCUGCUUUCUCUCGUUUCCCAUUUCUAAUUUUCCCAUCCCCCUCCGCUUUGCUGCCGCUGUGUGAGAAGUGGGUGUGUGCAACCAAAGGGAAAUGGAGCUUCCCACCUUCAGGGCCGCCCGGGCGGGCCGUCCUCACAGCGCUCCGAACUUGGGGUGACUGCGCUUCUCGGGGUCUCGGUCACACUCUGGGGGCUCCCUCCCGGGCCCCGGGCAGGGCUGGUGUGGGCCCGCCCUCCGUCCGCUGUCCGUGUCUGCCGCCCGCUGCAUGCCCGCGUGGUCCGCCCCGCGCCCCCCCCCCGCAGGAGCAGUGCCCGCCGCCCGCCCUCCCGGUGCCCUCCACGCGCACGUGUCAGUCAGUGAGCGCCUCGAGCUGUGAAGUGGCCGCUCCUCCCUGUGCCCCCUGCGCGCUGCACGGGGCACGCUGCCUGCAGGGCACGCGGGCUCGCGCUCCGUGCGGGAGCACCGCCGCUGCCCAGGCCCUGCGCACGCUCGCCGUGCGGCCGACGUGUUUAAGUUAAUAAACCUGUGGUUUCUGCU